rnacentral:ncRNA from 1 species
CAAAAGCUUGGUCCUGACUUUUCUAUCAGCUUUGGCUAAGUUUACACAUGCAAGUCUCCGCACCCCUGUGAAAAAGCCCUAGACUACCCCAACCGGGAGCAAGGAGCUGGUAUCAGGCACCGAUCACUUCCAGCCUAAGACGCCUUGCCUAGCCACACCCCCAAGGGAACUCAGCAGUGAUUAACAUUAAGAAUAAUCGAAAGUUUGACUUAGCGACAGCCAAGAAGGGUCGGUUAAUUUCGUGCCAGCAACCGCGGUUAUACGAAAGACCCAAGUUGAUAGACGACGGCGUAAAGAGUGGCUAGAACAACUUUAUACUAGAGUCAAAAACCCCUUCUACCGCUGUCUAAAGCUCAAAGGGACAAAAAGAACUACUACGAAAGUGACUCUAACAACAUUUUAAUCCACGGAAGCUAGGACACAAACUGGGAUUAGAUACCCCACUAUGCCUUGCCGCAAACAAAGAUGAUUUUUUACGAUUCAUCCGCCAGGGGACUACGAGCUAUAGCUUAAAACCCAAAGGACUUGGCGGUGCUUUAGAUCCACCUAGAGGAGCCUGUCCUAGAAUCGAUGAUCCCCGUUCAACCUCACCCUCUCUUGCACAUCAGCCUAUAUACCUCCGUCGUCAGCUCACACUUUGAAGGUAAAAAAGUGGGCACAACUGGUACUACCCCAAACGUCAGGUCAAGGUGUAGCCCAUGGGAGGGGAAGAGAUGGGCUACAUUUGCUCCCACAGCACACUCACGGAAGGCUCGUUGAAAUUACGAACCCUAAGGAGGAUUUAGAAGUAAGCAGAGAAUAGAGUGCCCUGCUGAAACCGGCCCUGAAGCACGUACACACCGCCCGUCACCCUCGCCAACAAAACAUCGUUGUAAUAACUAAAAAGUCGUCAACAUUAAGGGGAGGUAAGUCGUAACAAGGUAAGUGUACCGGAAGGUGCACUUGGAACAACA